AACGAACGCUGGCGGCAGGCUUAACACAUGCAAGUCGAGCGAGACCUUCGGGUCUAGCGGCGGACGGGUGAGUAACGCGUGGGAACGUGCCCUUCUCUACGGAAUAGCCCCGGGAAACUGGGAGUAAUACCGUAUACGCCCUUUGGGGGAAAGAUUUAUCGGAGAAGGAACGGGCCUCGUUGGAUUAGGUAGUUGGUGGGGUAAUGGCCCACCAAGCCGACGAUCCAUAGCUGGUUUGAGAGGAUGAUCAGCCACACUGGGACUGAGACACGGCCCAGACUCCUACGGGAGGCAGCAGUGGGGAAUCUUAGACAAUGGGGGCAACCCUGAUCUAGCCAUGCCGCGUGAGUGAUGAAGGCCUUAGGGUUGUAAAGCUCUUUCAGCUGGGAAGAUAAUGACGGUACCAGCAGAAGAAGCCCCGGCUAACUCCGUGCCAGCCGCCGCGGUAA
rnacentral:rRNA from 1 species